ensembl:snRNA U1 U1 spliceosomal RNA
AUACUUACCUGGCAGGGGAGAUACCGUGAUCAAGAAGGCGGGUCAACCAGGGCGAGGCUCAGCCAUUGCACUUCGGCUGUGCUGAUCCCUGCGAAUUCCCCAAAUGUGGGAAUCUCGACUGCAUAAUUUCUGGUAGUGGGGGACUGCGUUCGCGCUCUCGGG